CGAAUCGUAGGUGGUUAGGUGGAGAGCGAGAACAUAUGUAUAUACUGUUCGUUAUGAAUUAUUGUCGUAAAGCUUACUUGUUUAUUGUACACAAUAUUGUAUGAAAGAUGGAUUUUAAUUGUAACUGUAGCUAAAAUAUUAGGCCUACUCCCGAAGUUCAACUGUGAAUUUAAAAAGGACAUUAAAAUGUAACACUCGUAACACACAUAACACACAGAACACCUACAAAGUGGGAGGAUCAGUUGGAUAAUGGAACAACGAUUGGAAGGAUUGAAAGGAAGGGCUAAGGAGAGGGUAAUGGAGGCUGGGAAAUGGGAAGGGGAGGUAAGGAAUUGGGUAUGCCAUAAGGAAAGUAGGAACAAGUCGGUCUUUUCCACUUGAGACUCGGAGCAAUCCAGACGUUUUUUUUACAAAGUGAAUAGAAGUGACAAUUUAGUCAGUUAUACAGUGGAGAAGAUUUUAUCCUCGCCUAGAUAUCCGCAAGAGUCAGGACCCAUUUGGUAUCAGCUAGGACCGUUUAGCGUCGCCAUACCUGCCUGCCGGUACUACGAUACCCGGUGAAGCACGUGGAGAGCCAUUUCUACGACCAGGCAUUUCCAAACCCUGAGCUGCUUCCUCCGUGAUAGCUACGCCCAACCCCGACAUUGGGAGCCCGUUCCUCGAGCACGUUCUGCACGCUCAUACCCCUUCAAGCCAUCCCAUCUGCGACGACGAGUGAGCAGCUAGCACCCGUUGAGAACCACCAGAGUGAUCCUUCCCGCCGGCCGGCCCCGCAUUACACACCCACACGUACACCCGUAAGUUAAUAAUAAACUGUGGAAAAUAGCUAAUAGUGUUUGGACUUCUGAUCAUCGCGAAGAGCCGACCCUGUGACCAAGAG